GGCAGAUGAGGUGCACAUCAAUCGGUAAGGUCCUUACGGCUCACCGUGUUUUUAUGCAGAUGGCAAAGAGGAACCUAGCAACUGUCUGAAUAACCUGGUUACUCAGCGCGUUGUUUUUUCAACAAUGGAUUCAGACUCCUGGCACCGUAAAAGAUAAGUCGAGGGACCGGUGCUUGGGUGAAUGGUCUGGGGGGCAGCCCAAGGUUGGAAAUUGCAGGGAGAAGUUUUAAAGUUAAUUUACGGGAGAGGGCCGUGUAGGAACAGUGCUCUUUGGGCAGCAGAAGGGGGGGUGGAAGGCAUUUCUUUUCAGCACGAGGUUAGCACGUGCCAGGCAGCACAGUUCCGGCCUGUGUCGUCGUGUAGUCCGUGUUGUUUGUCUCGUGCAUCUUUAGACUUUUCUUGGGUCUCGACGUCGUCGUGGCUCUUUGAGCCCAAGGAGCGCAUUAGUUGCCUCGGACAUCUUCCCUCGGGCCAGGAACACCCAUAGUCAUCGGCACAGUGCCAACCAGGCAGUUCUUAUUUUUGUUUUACUAGCCUAAAGCGUAGCUAGAUCUCAGAAGUUUCCGGUCAUGCUGCAUUUGCAAUGUCCUUCCAGGCUGCGUUAGUAUCUCUGACGUACAGCGAUCCAUCUUCUCAAAUAUCUUUUCUGGCAGUCGUUCCCGGCAUCUUGACGUUCUUAGGUCUUGAAGCGACGUUACUUGCGCAUGCCUUAUCCCUGUGGAGGCUAUCAGGUUUUCUGUCAGGCCACAACACUUGACUCUUCUCGGCCUGCCGCCCCUUCUUCCUCACGGCCAUGUAGGUCUUCCUGUCCGAGAGCAUCUCCGAUCUGAGUUUUUCUUCUUAAAGAGCUUAUUUUAUGUCUCUCCUCUUGUUUGUGUGCCGUGUCGGUCUGUGCGUGUUUGUCUGUCGGAGCUGCUCUGCCUGGGUGCGUAGAGGUGACAGCCGUAGAAGAACAGUAAGGUUCUAUGUCAAUAAGCCUGGACUUUGUAGGGAAAAGGCGUACCGUCCAUUUCAGAGCAACUAAUUAUGUAGCCAACAGGCAAGAAGAGUUCUUUCUGUAGCGCUACGCAGACACUCAGGGGAUGAGCAGAGUUUUAUUGACACCAGGCUGUCGAGAGAAUUGGGGUGGUAUACUUAAAUGAAAAUGGGAUCUCUGUAACUGUUAAGGUAUCGCUCGUCAUCCAGGUGACUCAUUCAAUAUCUCUUUUGCAGAUGAAGAGGGAUGACUCCCUCACCUAACGACAACAGAGAAGAUAAAUCGAGCAGUUUAGGAAGGUAGGUUGGCGUGAAGCGUCGGGGGAAGAUGUGACCGGUGGCUAUAUGACUAGCCGAUAGGUGCAUUUUACUCGGAAGGCGCAAAGCGUCGAGCAACGUGAACUUUUGGCACCGGAGGGGAUGUGGACGAGAAGAGCCGUGACUAGGGGGCUGAAGCAGCAGUUACUUUUCAGGCGUCCUAUCGGUGAAGGUAGAAGCACGCCUCGUCGCUCGUCUUGCAAGCGGUACCCGAGCCUCAACGUGACAACCUGUAAACAGUAGAGGCGGAGCGGGUGACGCACGUAGCCUCGGAAGGGUGAAGGAGCAUGCCGCUGAGCCAUCUGAGAAGGUGCCAAGUGAGCCACCUUUGGGAUCAUCUGAGCAUCCGAAAGCAGCCAGGGUAGUAGCAAGGACGAGCACGGGGUCGGUGAGUUCUCACAAGCUCAACGUUAACUUUGUCUCUCGGUAAGUUAGGUACCGGAAGAGGCAACGGCUGCAGUAUCUGAGUCCAAAACGAGCAGGUGAUAAAGGAAUCUGGCCACCGCAGGAACAUGCUAGUCAGGUGCUGUGCUGCUUUUGUCGAAGAUGGAAUCGGACCUACGGUCUUCUGAAAGCUAAGUCGAGGGAACGGGGCCGAGAGGAGGGGUUGAGGUUGGGAACUGCAGGGAAGAGUUUGAAAGUUAGCGUAGGGGAGAAGGCUGUACAGGAGCAGAGCCCUACAGUCAGGUAAAGGGAACAGAUGACUUUUCCCCUCGAUGUUAGCGUGUCCCGGGCAGGGCAGUUCUAGCCUUUGUGUGUGUUAUCGUGUAGUAUGUUUCUUCUGUCUACCGUGUCUUGGUCCUUCCUUGCAUCUCUAUGUCCUCACAUCUGUUUGUGCUCGAGGAGCAAGGCACGUGCCUCAGGAGCCAUCCCUAGGGUAUCGAACGCACAUCUUCAUCGGCACGCUGCAGAUCGGGUGCUUUUUAUUCUUGCGUUAUAAGUUUAAAGCGAUGGUAGGUGUUGGCAUUUUCCAGUUGGGAGUAUUUCGCGCAGCAUCGUCGCAGGCUGAGGCAGCAGCUCUGCUAUUUAGGCAUCCGUUGUUCCUGCCGGUGACUUCUUUCCGGUAUCCUGACAUUCUUAGGUCUUGAAGCCCAUCUUCUUGCAUACCCAUCGUCUCUGGUUUGCUGGUAGCUUCUUGUAAAUGGCCGUCCCACUUAGUGCUUCUUGUAGGCUGCCAUAUAGUCUCCUCACAUCACCAUCGUGGCUCUCUAAGUCUUCUCGCCUUACGGCAUACCCUUCUGGGUGUCCUUAUCGCUUAGUGUUUAGUCAUCUUUGAAUCUUGUCAUUUGUAGUAUUUUGUGUGUGUCUGUGUGACUUGGAGCUGCUCUGCCUGGGGCUGUGGAGUCUCAGGGAUAGGUGGAAUAGAGUUCACGGGUAUACGGUAUGGGUUUGUUUUAAAUAAGAAGACAAAUCCUCCAACCGGGUGACAUCUUUGUCUCCCAGGUGGGGUUUAUUUUCACCCAGUCGCAGGUGCUCUUGGAGGGUGACGGUCACAGUCAGUGUCUGGGUGAAGGUCAGGUUUGGCUCAGGAUUUCCUCAGGCUCGGUGCUCGAGUCCCGCUGUAAUAGUCUUCAGGGGGUGCCUGUCUGUUGUGACAGUUGGGUGGAAGCAUAAGCUAGCAGAGAGUGGGGGUUGGUUUUGGUGGUAGGUGGAAUAGCGAUAUGUUUAGAAUGUGUCGAGGUGUGUAUGUGUGUGUGUUUUAUUUUUUAAUGUUGUAGGUGGGCUCAAUUUGAGUACAUAGACUGGAUUUAAUGAAUAACUCUGUCAGGGGAAUAAACUUCUGUUUUUCCUGUCUCCUGGCUGGGUAAUUUUUCCCUGGUCCUGGCUGGUGUGCAAUGCAAGGAUCAUUAUCUAGAUUUGGGUGCAGGUCAGGCUCAGGUGGGAGUUUUUUCAGGCAGGCUGAUUUUUUGAGGCCCCCAUACCUGGUGUUUUUGAGGUUCUCAGAGAGUGAUGGCUUGUGGCAGUUUUGGUGGUAGGGUGGCCAAGGGGAGAGGAGGUGGUGGUUUGAGUUGUAGCUGGCUGUGUGGUGUUUAAAAGCUGUGUAGUAGUGCCUGAAUAGUUGAUGUUCUGUUUUUUCCUUAGAGGCUGUAGCUUGUAUAGCUUUGUUUAUAGGUAGUAGACAGACAAACUAUAAAUUAAAAAAAAAAAAAAAAAGAAAUAGCCAGAAGAGAGAAAACUUUUUCUUUUUAUAUCCCCGGCUUGGUUUUUAGUACCCAGUCCUGGCUGGUCUGUGAGGUGACUGUCAUUGUCUAUGUUUGGGCGCAAGUCGGUGUCAGGGUGGGGUUUUUCAGGCAGAUAGAAUUUUUUUUCUGUGGGAACAGCAUUCUGAGGAAGCGC